rnacentral:rRNA from 1 species
AGCGAACGCUGGCGGCAGGCUUAACACAUGCAAGUCGAGCGGGCCUUUCGGGGUCAGCGGCGGACGGGUGAGUAACGCGUGGGAACGUGCCCUCUGGUUCGGAAUAACUCAGGGAAACUUGAGCUAAUACCGGAUACGCCCUUUUGGGGAAAGGCUUGCUGCCGGAGGAUCGGCCCGCGUCUGAUUAGCUAGUUGGUGAGGUAACGGCUCACCAAGGCGACGAUCAGUAGCUGGUCUGAGAGGAUGAUCAGCCACACUGGGACUGAGACACGGCCCAGACUCCUACGGGAGGCAGCAGUGGGGAAUAUUGGACAAUGGGCGCAAGCCUGAUCCAGCCAUGCCGCGUGAGUGAUGAAGGCCUUAGGGUUGUAAGGCUCUUUUAUCCGGGACGAUAAUGACGGUACCGGAGGAAUAAGCCCCGGCUAACUUCGUG